rnacentral:rRNA from 6 species
AAAAUUAGAGUGUUCAAAGCAGGCAGAUCCAAUUUUCUGCCACCGAAUACAUUAGCAUGGGAUAAUGGAAUAGGACCCUGUCCUCCUAUUUUCAGUUGGUUUUGGCAGCGCGAGGACUAGGGUAAUGAUUAAUAGGGAUAGUUGGGGGCAUUAAUAUUUAAUUGUCAGAGGUGAAAUUCUUGGAUUUAUGAAAGAUUAACUUCUGCGAAAGCAUCUGCCAAGGAUGUUUUCAUUAAUCAAGAACGAAAGUUAGGGGAUCGAAGACGAUCAGAUACCGUCGUAGUCUUAACCAUAAACGAUGCCGACCAGCGAUUAGGAGACGUUGAAUACAAAACACCACCAUCGGUGCGGUCAUCCUUGGCGUUGGUCUUCAAAAGCCAGCGCGGGGGUGGCUUAGCCCGGUGGCACCGGUGAA